rfam:Chelonia mydas contig208441, whole genome shotgun sequence.
UUAUUUUAACAUCCUCUUAACAAAAUUAUUAAAUCUAUUCUUGUCAGUUUAAUAUCUGCUAUGUCCUUUAUUUGAGGACUGUAUAUUAAAUUGAUUUUUGAAACAGGGGGAUAGAAGAGGAGCUUGCUCUGUCCACCCCAUGCAUUGACCUGGUAUUGCAGGGUCUCCUGGAAUGGUGCAUUUUUA